UGCUUGUGUCCUCCUGCAGAAGGGAGCUGGAACAGUUCUGGCACUGCUGGCUCACCGUGUCUUCCAUCCACCCUGUGUGCCGUGAGAGUAAACGUCAGAGGCAAGACGCGAAUGCCCUUCAGUGAGUCAUCUCUGGGUGGUCCUGCUCACUGAUUUGGGAUCUAACUAAUCUUUAAGCAGUGUUCUCCUCACCCGUAAUUUUCAAAUCAGAGCCUAAAUCUCACAGACAUGAAGGCAAUGGAACAGCAGCGUCUCUGUCUGCAAGGUAUCUGGUCCUUCGACCUCACCGUGACCCAGUUUCUUCAGGAGAACAUUCCAGAAGCAGAGCAAGGGGCUGCGAACGGUGUGCAAUGCUUCCUGAACCACCUCAUGGCCCUCCAUCCACUUCGUCUGGGUCAUGCUGGCUCUGCGGCCAUGGCAUUUCAGCGUCUCAUCUUCAUCUUCAUCCUAUUUGUAACCAUGGGGCACAUGCUGUAUUUUUUUUUUUUUAAUGCAAGAAAGUGUAAGAUUAGAAACGCCCAUGUUCAGAAGACAGCAAAGAAGGGAGCUUUAACCUGACAGGUAGGCAGCCCCUCUCACCACUCAGAGCCCUAACUGGCCCUCACUCACACUGUUUGCAGUGAUUUCCCAAAGUUGCUGCUGGCUGCCUACCUCAUUCUGCUACUACAUUGGAGAGUGAUUCUGUCAUUCACCACCUUUGCCAGUAGCACCAACUGCGUUAAAGACAUCUUUGCGGUGAUGGCUACUAGCUGGAGUUUGAAAUGGGGCUGACGCAUGGCACGCCCAUUAUCUGAACUCAGAUUCUGCUCCAGACGACUUGAAGGGAUUUGUUUUAAUUUUGUCAGCAUAAUUCAAUGUUUUCAGGAUUUUAAAAAUUCGUUCUUUGGGUUCUAAAAUUACUAAAGAUCUUUGGUCAAUGUUAAAAUUAGAGUUGGAUCAUGGCCAGUGAUGUUUGGUCUCAGUCCUUUGGGUUUUUGUUCUAUGAAUGUUCUUUUGACAGUCUCUGUGCCCCUCAUAAGGACUGAAGCUCUUUGUUGACGUAAAUUAUGGUAACAGCCUUUGGGUGGUUUCUAGACUCUAGAACAGGCAAGGGAUGUCUCCUGCGGAGGUGGGUGCAGGCGCAGGUGCCAUCUGCAGGGGAGCUGGAUCCUGGCCCAGCCCUGGGUCUCAGGCAAGGGUAGGUUCCCGCUGCUAAAGUGAUGGGAUUUGGGGAUUUUUUUUUUUUUCUAUUUUUUCUUUGGGAUUUUGGGAUUUUUUUUUCUAUUUUUUUCUUUUUUCUCAGGCUUUGGGAUUUUUUUUUUCUACUUUUUUCUUUUUUCUCGGGCUUUAGCACCUGCACCUAACUCUUCUGAAUGUAUAGAUAUUGGAAGGGGAGCCAGCUGUAAUUCUUGUGGACAUGGUGGAACUGGGAGAGAAGAAAAGAUUACCCACUUAUCUGCCUUUCUGUGUGUGUUUCCAAGGAUAGAAAUCUUCACAGAGCUUCCCAGCAGCCUGGGGAGGGACUGGGUCUGUGUGGCCUGGUCAGGGAAGAGAGUCCUGAGUCACAGCAGAGCCUUUGUGGGGAAGAGUCUCUGUGGGAAGCUGUUUCUCGAACAGAGGGUGUGGAGAUUCUGGACCUUCAGCAUCACUGAAAGGCAAUGGGCUAUGACAGGUGGGAGGAGACACUCAGACCCUGGGCUGUGACAGGUGGGAGAGGACAUUUCACAAACUUAGGAGAGAAAACACCAUUUACUCUGGAACCAGCAUGUCACCACAGUGGGACCCACAUCACAGGCAGCAUCAGGCAGACCUGCUGAGGGACUGCAGAGAAGGAAGUGUCUGACCCUUUGUGCAGAUGAGCCUAGACCACCUGCCCCAUCCAUGUUCCCACAUAAACAAUCACUGAUUUCUUUAUGAUGGAGGAGAGUUUGUGUUUGCAGUCAGGCCCUCCUGGUGUCAAGGCCCUCCUUCCAGAAGCCGGGGGAUGUGCAUUUCCUUCUCUAUCACAUUUUGGAGUCAUGCCCAGGCCAGCUGGAAACAUCCUGAGCUGUGAUAGUGUCAGUGUCAGAGGUGAGUCUGCCUUUAAAACAUGUGCGCACACCUCAGGGAGACAGGGGAG
rnacentral:lncRNA from 1 species